GUAAACUCCAAACCAACAAACAACAUAUUAACUGUACUGUGUAUAUUAUUGCUUAUGUGUUUUAUUUCUGAUUUUACUCACCAGAUAACGGAGGUGAUCGGGGCUCAUCACUCUGAGAACUCGCCAAUAGUGCCAGUGGUGGCUGGGGUGACACUGCCGAAAGUCUUCGCCUGGGUGGGGAUGAUGGAGCCGCAGAAUCCGAGCAAAGACGCCGUGUCUUGCUUGGCCUCCUGGAAUAUGUGACUACAGUGAAGACUUACCUGCAAUCCCAGCCUCAUCCUGACUUGUCUGUGGCCUGUCUGGGCGGCUGGUCUGUGUGACUGUUGAAAAAGGGAGCCAAACAUUAUUACCAUGCUUUGUGUAAAAACAACCACUGCAAAGCAUUAUUGUACUGUAACCAUCUAUUAGGUAUUGUUUAAACACAUUUUGUACGCUUAAGAGCUUCUAGCUUCAUGCUUUUGAGUAGAAUAUCCAAAUGUCCAUGAUGUGGCACACAAUAAAUAUGUUAAUUUUU